CUCGGUCGCGACCCCAGGUC
rnacentral:rRNA from 3 species